rnacentral:snRNA from 1 species
ACUCUUACCUGGAAAAGGAGACACCAUGGUUUAUAAGGUGGUUUUCCUAGAGCAAGGCUCAUCCAUUGCUAACCUCUGCAAUUUCCCACAUGCUAGUAGGGGACUGUGUUAACACUUCCCUGA